rnacentral:tRNA from 1 species
GCAUCGUUGGCAUAGUGGCUGUGCUCCAGCCUUCCAAGCUGGCCACGCGGGUUCGAUCCCCGCACGAUGCUCCA